GGGGCUGUAGUUCAAUCGGGAGAACGUUUGACUGGCAGUCAAAAGGUAGGGGGUUCGAAUCCCCCCAGCUCCACCA
rnacentral:tRNA from 2 species